rnacentral:lncRNA from 1 species
GCACACAGGUGACCUGGGCAUCUUGUUGCAAUCAGGAUUCUGAUUCAAUAGGUCUGGGUGGACCUGAGAUUCAGUAUCGCUACCAAGCUCUGAAGUGGUGCCUAUGCUGUUGGUCCAAGGACAACAUGUUGAAACCAAAGAUCAAGAGGAGAAGGCAUUAACAACGUUCAAUUUCCCAGUGCCAGCUCUUCACAUCUCAUUCCUCGAGGAGUCAUUCAAAGUGAAUAAAGAACAAGAAAAGUGGGAGCUGAAGCUACUUUCCUGUUUUUUUCUGAAGCAAAUUCUUACGAGUGAAAACUGGAAGUCCCGCAGAUCAGGAGACGUCAGUCCUCAGCGAGUUCCAGGCAAGGACAGCCCAGGAGAUCUCUGCAUUUCACCCAAGCCAACGGAUCUGCUGUGCCCUUAAGAUCAUAGACGGAGGUGGCGUACAGACUUGUAAGACAUUGAUGUUUCCUUAUCAAAAAAAAAAAGGUAAAUGAAUAGAACUUGCUAACACCAGUCGUGUUCGGCCUCUGGGAGUGGUUUUGGCAGAGCCAGCGGGCUACCGGCCUGUGACCCUUAUCUUAUCCCGCACAGUUUGGCCAUUUCUGAUUGUGUCAAGGCCCAGGCUCUUGCUCUGAGCCAGUUUCCCCGAGCAAGGACUGUGGCUGUAGUCAACACAUUCCGAGUUCCUAGAGAAGCCCAAUGCAGGGAGAAAAUGGAGCCUCGGGGAUUCUUUUCGCCCAUUGCUUAGUCCUUGUUAGGCCUGCGGCAGACUCCGUCCUGUU